rnacentral:rRNA from 1 species
UACCUGGUUGAUCCUGCCAGUAGUCAUAUGCUUGUCUCAAAGACUAAGGCAUGCAUGUCUAAGUAUAAGUAUUAUACAGCGAAACUGCGAAUGGCUCAUUAAAACAGUAAUAGUUUAUUUGACAAUCUAACUUAUAUGGAUACCCGUAGUAAUUCUAGAGCUAAUACAUGCUGGUCUCCCGACUUUUUGGAAGGGAGGUAUUUAUUAGAUAAUAACCAAUAUUCCGUAGGUCUAUCGUGGUGAAUCAUAAUAACUGAUCGAAUCGCACAGCCUCUGGCUGCGAUAAGUCAUUCAAGUUUCUGCCCCAUCAGCUUUAGAUGGUAGUGUAUUGGACUACCAUGGCGUUCACGGGUAACGGAGGAUUAGGGUUCGAUUCCGGAGAGGGAGCCUGAGAAACGGCUACCACAUCCAAGGAAGGCAGCAGCCGCGUAAAUUACCCAAUCCUGACUCAGGGAGGUAGUGACAAGAAAUAACAAGCGGUAGCCUAGCUACCGAAUUGCAAUGAGCCGAAUUUACACCACUUAGUGAGGACCAAUUGGAGGGCAAGUCUGGUGCCAGCAGCCGCGGUAAUUCCAGCUCCAAUAGC